AAGUCGUAACAAGGUUUCCGUAGGUGAACCUGCGGAAGGAUCAUUACACAAGGAUACCUUUUGGUAUACCCCAUCCGUGUCUAUAUACUCUUGUUGCUUUGGCAGGCCGUGGUCUUGACCCUGUGGGCUUCUGCCUGCAUGUGCCUGCCAGAGGACCAAACUCUGAAUUUUAGUGAUGUCUGAGUACUAUAUAAUAGUUAAAACUUUCAACAACGGAUCUCUUGGUUCUG
rnacentral:misc_RNA from 1 species